rnacentral:lncRNA from 1 species
GACAGGCGCCUGCCAGCUGGCUGCUCAGCUAGAUCAGUUUCCAGAAGUGAUUCGAGGAGGUGGGCAGCGCAGCUAAAUAUAGCCCCGGGCAGGCUCCGCCCUCUGUCCCCUGUCCUGUUCUGGGUGUGCCUAUGCCCCUGCUGCCCACUGCUGUCCUUGCUCUAAGCCUGCUGCCGCCGCAGCUCUGAUCGCCUCGGGGAGGCCUGACUCUGGUCCUCCGGGAGUCUUCUGUGGCUAAGACCUCGCACACGACCUACUCAGCUCCCGCAGCAGAAGACGCAGCUGCAGGAGGCCUGCGAGCGCAAGGAGAAGAGCGUGGGCCUGCUGCAGCACCAGCUAGUGGAGGUGGAGGAGACGGUGCGGCAGUUCCGGGGGGCUGUUGGGGAGCAGCUGGGCAAGAUGCGGCUGUUCCUGGCUGCCCUGGAGGGCUCUUUGGACCGGGAGGCGGAACGAGUUCGAGGCGAGGCUGGGGCGGCCUUACAGCGGGAGCUGGCGGGCCUGAACUCCUACCUGGAGCAGCUGCGGGAGAUGGAGCAGGUGCUGGAGGAGGUGGCCGACAAGCCACAGACCGAGUUCCUCAUGAAAUACUGCCUGGUGACAAGCAGGCUGCAGAAGAUCCUGGCAGAGUCACCACCCCCUGCCCGUCUGGAUAUCCAGCUGCCUGUCAUUUCAGAUGACUUCAAAUUCCAGGUGUGGAGGAAGAUGUUCCGGGCUCUGAUGCCAGCCUGCUCCUGCUUCUGCUCCCUGCUGUUCACGGAGGAGGAGGAUCUUCGCUUCAGGAACUCCCGGGCCAACUGUGGCCUCCCAUUGCAGAGCAGCCAGAGCCACGCGUGGAACUGCAGCAAAAGCAUGACUUUGCAUCCAGUACCUCACUCAUCUUUUCUUUUUUUUAGUAGGAAAAAUUGGUGUCAUUUUAAAAAUUAUUAUUUAAUUUAUCUAUCUUUUCUUAAGUUCUUUUAUUGGUACAUUUUAGGUAUACAGUAUGCUUACAUUUAUCAUUCGGUGUUUGUACCUGCAUAUGAUGUAUCUUGGUUAUUUUUCCAUUACCUGUGCAUCCUUCAUCCCCUCCACCCUUCCUUAUUUACACAGACUUGGUUUCCAUUUUUCCCUUUUCUCAUAAUUUUUCCUUUCCCUUCUUUACUUUCCCCUUCCCUUCCCACUUGCACUACCCCUUCGGACCUUUUCUUCCUAUUUCAAAUUAUGAAUUAUUCAUUUUCAUCCUUAUUUACACUUUCAGUUUCUUACACUAGAGAAACUAUUAGGUAUUUACACAUGUGUGUCCUAUUUAUUUCACUUAAGAGGAUGGCCUCAAUGUGCAUCCAUUUAGCUAUAAAUGACUCUAAUUUCUCAUUUUUUAUGG